AUGAUAUGUGUGGCAUCUCUUGUCGCCAUCCACCGUCCGUUUCACAGUGAACACACUUGGAAAGCAGCUUUUGCCAAAAACCUUUGGACAGUCCAAUGUCAAUGUUACACAGCAAGUGGUGAUUGGCACGCCUCAGAGUCCUGCAGCAUCCAGCACUAUUGUGGUAGGGAGCCCACACUCUCCCAACACUCACUUUGUGUCCCAGAAUCAGACGUCUGACUCCUUACCUUGGUCUGCUGGGAAGUGGAACAGGAAGGGCGAGAAGAAUAGCAAGGGCUAAGUGGCAUUUCUCCAUGAAGGUGUGUGAGAAGGUGCAGAGGAAAGGAACUACCUCCUACAGUGAGGUGGCUAAAGAGCUGGUGGCAGAGAUCAGCACUUCGGACAACCACAUCCUACCAAACCAAUCAGCUUAUGACCAGAAGAACACCUGGAGGCAUGUCUACGAUGCCUUAAAUGUGCUAAUAGCCAUGAACAUCAUCUUCAAGAAGAAGAAGGAGAGCAAAUGGAUCGGCCUGCCCACCAACUCAGCUCAGGAGUGCCAGAACUUAGAGGUAGAGAGGCAGCGGAGGCUGGAGAGAAUCAAACAGAAGCAGUCACAGCUCCAGGAGCUCAUCCUGCAGCAAAUUGCCUUCAAGAACUUGGUGCAGAGAAAUCGCCAAGCCGAGCAGCAGGCCCGCAGGCCGCCUCCUCCCAACUCUGUCAUCCACUUGCCCUUCAUCAUUGUCAACACCAGCAGGAAGACAGUCAUUGACUGCAGCAUCUCCAAUGACAAAUUUGAGAAUCUGUUUAACUUUGACAACACAUUUGAAAUCCAUGAUGACAUUGAGGUGCUCAAGUGCAUGGGCAUAGCGUGUGGGCUGGAGUGUGGCAACUGCUCUGCUGAAGACCUCAAGGUGGCCAGAAGUUUGGUACCAAAAGCUCUAGAACCAUACGUGACAGAAAUGGCUCAGGGAUCCAUUGGUGGAGUAUUCCUUAUGAAAACAGGUUCUACAUCCAAUGGCACAAGGCUUUCUGCCAGUAAUUUGAGCAAUGGUGCAGAUGGAAUCCUGGCCAUAAGCUCCAAUGGGUCUCAGUACAGCGGCUCCAGGGUCGAGACCCCUGUGUCCUACGUUGGGGAGGAUGAUGACGACAACGACUAUGACUUUAAUGAGAACGACAAGGAGGAUUGA